GACGAACGCUGGCGGCGUGCUUAACACAUGCAAGUCGAACGGAAAGGCCCUGCUUUUGUGGGGUGCUCGAGUGGCGAACGGGUGAGUAACACGUGAGUAACCUGCCCUUGACUUUGGGAUAACUUCAGGAAACUGGGGCUAAUACCGGAUAGGAGCUCCUGCUGCUUGGUGGGGGUUGGAAAGUUUCGGCGGUUGGGGAUGGACUCGCGGCUUAUCAGCUUGUUGGUGGGGUAGUGGCUUACCAAGGCUUUGACGGGUAGCCGGCCUGAGAGGGUGACCGGCCACAUUGGGACUGAGAUACGGCCCAGACUCCUACGGGAGGCAGCAGUGGGGAAUAUUGCACAAUGGGCGGAAGCCUGAUGCAGCAACGCCGCGUGCGGGAUGACAGCCUUCGGGUUGUAAACCGCUUUCGCCUGUGACGAAGCGUGAGUGACGGUAAUGGGUAAAGAAGCACCGGCUAACUACGUG
rnacentral:rRNA from 1 species